GGAACCCAAAGAGGCCCACACCAAGACACAUCAUAAUUAAAAUACCAUGGGUUAAAGACAAAGAGAUAUUCUUAAAAGCACCAAGAGAAAUGCAGUUAGUUACCUGUAAGGGAGUGCCCAUAUAACUGUCAUCUGAUUUCUCAA